CUGGGACGAAACCCCCGAUUUCCAUCGGGCCUGACGGUACCAGAGGAAUAAGCACCGGCUAACUCCGUGCCAGCAGCCGCGGUAAUACGGAGGGUGCAAGCGUUAUCCGGAUUCACUGGGUUUAAAGGGUGCGUAGGCGGGUUUGUAAGUCAGUGGUGAAAUCCCCGAGCUUAACUUGGGAACUGCCAUUGAUACUGCAAGUCUUGAAUUUUCUGGAGGUAAGCGGAAUAUGUCAUGUAGCGGUGAAAUGCUUAGAUAUGACAUAGAACACCCAUUGCGAAGGCAGCUUACUACGGGAAUAUUGACGCUGAGGCACGAAAGCGUGGGGAUCAAACAGGAUUAGAUACCCUGGUAGUCCACGCCCUAAACGAUGAUUACUCGACAUUAGCGAUAUUACAGUUAGUGUCUAAGCGAAAGCAUUAAGUAAUCCACCUGGGAAGUACGACCGCAAGGUUGAAACUCAAAGGAAUUGACGG
rnacentral:rRNA from 1 species